UCCGAUGAUGGCAUGAAAUCUUUGAGACCUGAUUCUCUCUUAUGAUGAAAAUCACAAGCAUAUUUUCUGAGGAU